UACAGAGGGGGCAAGCGUUAUCCGGAUUUACUGGGUUUAAAGGGUGUGUAGGCGGACUUUUAAGUCCGUGGUGAAAUCUCUGAGCUUAACUCAGAAACUGCCAUGGAUACUAUUUGUCUUGAAUAUUGUGGAGGUAAGCGGAAUAUGUCAUGUAGCGGUGAAAUGCUUAGAUAUGACAUAGAACACCAAUUGCGAAGGCAGCUUACUACACAGUUAUUGACGCUGAGGCACGAAAGCGUGGGGAUCAAACAGG
rnacentral:rRNA from 1 species